AUCUAAAUGAGCCAACUGAGUGCUAAUGGAGGCAAACCCUUAGCAACAGCUGCUGCUUUCAGCCACCAGCCCAGGAUACUACUGUGUAAACCGAUCUCUGGCACGCGACUCUCCCGGCCCAUCUCUGGUGAUCCAUUACACGGCAGUGCCAACUCAAACCUUUUCUAAGUCAGCUCUGGCAGCUUGUUGAGCAGAGUGCAGUAAAACCCGGCGCUCCAUGGCUAGUUCUCCUAAUCGUGUGGAAACUCUGACUACUUACAGAAGCAAUGAGGGAGGCAACAUCUGCAACGGCUCGCCAUGUGAACGAGCGGGCGGGGUGGGAAAGAAGUCGAGGAGAACGACUACAAGCUGGCGAGCCGCUUCUGACGUGGCUCGCGGAUAAACAAAAGCCUGCCAAUCCUCCGUGUUCACACUGCCUCCUCUUGUCAAAAUUCUUUCACAUCCAGGUGGUUUUAGUCUCAGACAAUGCUGGAGGGGGGGGGGGGGUUUGUCUCUUUUUUUCUUCCAAGCAAAGUCCGUGGCCAAGCAGCUGCUGCUAAUCUCUGUUAGCAGAGUCCCACUAAACAGUCGGCUGUAGCCUUUAAUCUGGUCCCCCCACAAUCAUUACCUCCAGAGCU